AUACACACAAAAUAUGGGGGCUUAGUUCACAGGUGGUCUAAACGGCUAGGUGCGCUGGAUAAGUACUGUAACGGAUUACAAGGGCUCCAAGGUCAUAGCCGAGACGGGAGUUAUGGAACCAUUACAGAUUUCCGAUAUAGCGGAUGUAUAAAUCUUAAAGAGGACAACAAACGUCGCGGCAAGACAAACAUCUCAGGUCAUAUACGUUAUUAUGGGAAAAUUCAAAGUCUCACAA